GGUUUGAUUAUGGCUCAGAUUGAACGCUGGCGGGAUGCUUUACACAUGCAAGUCGAACGGCGGCACGGACUUCGGUCUGGUGGCGAGUGGCGAACGGGUGAAGUAAUGUAUCGGAACGUGCUAGUAGCGGGGAUAACUACGCGGCGUAGCUAAUACCGCGCCACGCCCUUCGGGGAAAGCGGGGGACCUUCGAAGGCUCCGCCUAACCUGGGCGCCGGUGUCCGGAUUAAGCCAGGUUGGCAGUAACCCGGCUCCCACUAGGCGGCUGAUCGUAACAAUUUGAAGGGGACGACAGCCUGCUGGGACGGGUACAGCCCGGACUCUGCGGAGGAGCAGCAGUGGAAUUUGGUGUGGAAGCUGAACGGCCAUCCCGCAGUAAUGCGAGAGGCUCGGUUGCCAGCAUACACGGCAGAAAGAAACUGGCGGAUAAUACCCCGUGCAACGACGACACCUGCAAAUAAGCGCGGCUAACCGUGCCGUGGCCGCAGCCGGCAGUGCAAGCACAUCGGAGUACUGGCAGUAAAGCGAUACUUGCAGGCGGUUCGGAAAAAGAUGUAGAAAUCCCAGGAAUGCUUAUUUGGAACUGCAUUUUUAACUGCAGGCUAGAGUGUCAGAGGGAGGUGGAAUUCCGCGACAACAACGGUAAAAUGCGUAGAUAUGCGGAGAGGAACACCGAUGGCGAAGGCAGCCUCCUGGGAUAACACUGACGCUCAUGCACGAAAAGCGUGAGGCAAACGGGAUUAGAUACCCUGGUAGUCCACGCCCUAAACGAUGUCAACUAGCUGUUGGGGCCUUCGGGCCUUGGUAGCGCAGCUAACGCGUGAAGUUGACCGCCUGGGAGUACGGUCGCAAGAUUAAAACUCAAGGGAAUUGACGGGGACCCGCACAAGCGGUGGAUGAUGUGGAUUAAUUCGAUGCAGCAUGAAAAACCUUACCUACCCUUGACAUGUCUGGAAUCCCGAAGAGAUUUGGGAGUGCUCGCAAGAGAACCGGAACACAGGUGCUGCAUGGCUGUCGUCAGCUCGUGUCGUGAGAUGUUGGGUUAAGUCCCGCAACGAGCGCAACCCCUUGUCAUUAGUUGCUACGAAAGGGCACUCUAAUGAUUCCGGUGACAAACCGGAGGAAGGUGGGGAUGACGUCAAGUCCUCGCAGCCUUAUGGGUGUUGGGCUUCACACGUCAUACAAUGGUCGGGACAGAGGGUCGCCAGCGCAGGGGGAGCCAAUCCCGAAACCCGAUCGUAGUCCGGAUCGCAGUCUGCAACUCGACUGCACGUGAAGUCGGAAUCGCUAGUAAUCGCGGAUCAGCAUGUCACGGUGAAUACGUUCAGGUCUUGUACACACCGCCCGUCACACCAUGGGAGUGGGUUUUACCAGAAGUAGUUAGCUAUACCGUAAGGAGGGCGAUUACCAUUAGGAUUCAUGACUGGGGUGAAGUCGUAACAAAGGUAG
rnacentral:rRNA from 1 species